GUCAGCGGUAAACCAUCAGAGUCUCAGCAUGGAAGUCUCUCACACUUUGAUCUGCUUCUUCUUCCUCUUCUCUCUGCAGGAUGGAAGCACCGGUCUCGUCAGUGCCCAACACUUUGUCUAUUCAGGAACUGAAGGAGAAGAUGUCAGAGUUAAAUGCCCUUUUACUUGCUAACCAAGUCUGACUCAGGACGCUACAGCAGGUGUGGUGCGGGAUCAUCUUUGACACAGGCUUCAUACAAGGAUAUUGAGAUCAUCGUUGUUGAUGGUGAGUUUCUACUAAAAACCUCUCCCUUAAUAAUAGUUUUACCUUUUCACCAUUACCUCAUCUAAAUCCUACAUGUCUUCUGAAAGUAACUGAUAAACCGAAACACGUACACAAGUGUUUUUUAAUAUUAUUGUGUAGAACAUUAUUGAUGAAGAAUUUAAUUCCGUGGGUAGUAGCAUAUUGAUCUGUUGUCUCUGUUCUUAUCUGAAUGAAGUAUAUCAUAUGGCCGCUCUGUGUUCUGUUAACAAGUAAGACAAUUAGUAAUAGAUCGAGAUCAAUAGAAAAUAACAACUGAACUAGUGGUUUCUGGCUGCGGUCGGGGCUUUGAAGGAAUACUUUACCCCCAAAUUACCAUUUUCAGAUCAUCUUGAAGUUGAUAACUUUUUCUAGCGUGACUCCACGGUGAACAAAGAAUCCCAAAAUGGAGAAAAGUCUUAAUGAAUGUUAAAUUAAUUCAGGGCCGUGUUUUACAACAGUAGAAAUAUAUUAAAAACAUCCGUUAACUAACUCGAACACAACUAAUGCUGUUUAGUUGUGUGGUCUCUUAAACAUAAGAUCUCUAGCAUUUUGAAUUGAAUUGAAUCUAAAGCAAUAUUGGUAAAUGAUUUAAUAUCAGAUUAUAAUAUUGAUAUAUGCUGUCUCACUGAAACUUGGUUGAGACAUGAAGAAUAUGUCAGCAUAAAUGAGGCCACUCCACCCAGCCAUAUCAAUACUCAUAUAUUGCCCGAGGCGUGGGCC